AUGUGUAACAUUCAAUGAAAAACUUGUCUACUACACUGUACAUGUAGUAUCAUCUGCCUGUAACUGAUGAACAGUUUGUUUCAUCCGAGAGCCAUUUUCCAAAACACUAUGCACAGUAGAAUGAACAAAACUUUAACGAAAAUGUUCUUAAGAGAGCUGUGCUGCUCUACCAGUUUUUAACUGUCCCUUUAAAGACCUCAUCCAUGAGGGGUUGGUUAUCAACUCCCGUGCCCAUCCAUCCUUCCAUGACGAACCCGCCCGAUCCGGUUACAGCCAGGGCGAGAGUUGAAGAGCAGCCACGAACCUGUCAGUCCAAGCCAAACGAACAAAAAAUCCUACAAAGACACUCCCCCUGUGAGGCUUGUCUGAACAAUUGCCUCCAGCUUACAAAUCUCCAUUCUCGCCUCCUGCUACAAAUCUAUCUCCGUCGUCGGUCUAAGUUUCCAGGGAACCUUCUGAUGAGUACUCUGGUCCUUCAAGGCAGAUGAGCCACCUGUUAAGGUCUGAAGGCCGGUCCGGUGUGAUUGAUGACACCAUGGAUGCUUUGCCUGUCUGCAUGCACUUGGCUGCUCGGGGAUGCUGUGGAGGCCUGUGCUGGGUCAGGUCUAAUGAGAGCUUUGUGUCAACAACUGAGGAAAGACAGCUUUGACGGACAGACAGGCCUCUCAGACUUCCAAGUGUUGGGGCAGACUCAAGCUGGUUUGUGCAGUGGAAUGCGGGAACCUUUUGUUGCCACAGUUAUCAGAGUUUAGAUUGAGAAACAACUCUGCUGAAACUGGCUCUACAGUACAGCGCUAGAUAAUGAUUGAUUGACAAAUUAAACUGCUUGAUUGAUUAGCAGGUGCUGUAAAAUUGAAAUUGACUGAUUCAUUGACCACAGAGUCAUUAAGUGAUCUAGCUGACUGGCAGAAUUGGCUGAUGGACAGACUGACUGAUUUAGGGGUUAUGUGGUGUUUCUACAACAGGGGAAACUGCUGUGUGCUACAUGAGCUUGCAAACAACAAUAUCCUAAUUAAUGGCUGAUUGACAAAUUAAACUGCUUGAUUGAUUAGUAGAGCUGUAAAAUUGAAAUUGACUGAUUGAUUGACCACGGAGUGAUCUAGCUGACUGGCGGAAUUGGCUGAUGGACUGACUGACUGAUUUAGGGGUUAUAAGUUUCCAUGAUGGUAGGCAACUCCUGUGUGCUACAAUGUACAUGACCUUGCGCACAAUUUCCUGUACACUCACUUUACAUGCACACUGUCAGGGAAAAGCUAUGCAAGAGCUAAGAACUGACUUACAUGUAUGACUGACUUAAAUGAAUGGCACUGUUUUGAUUGUAAUUUUAAAUAACAAAUUACAAGUUACAGGCAUGCAACUUGGGCAUUGACAGAACAAAUGAGGAAUGUCCAAUCUUUACAUGACUUUGUACAGUGUUUUCAAUUAUUAAU